rnacentral:rRNA from 1 species
UACGUAGGUGGCAAGCGUUGUCCGGAUUUAUUGGGUUUAAGGGUGCGUAGGCGGUUCUAUAAGUCAGUGGUGAAAUACGGCAGCUCAACUGUCGAGGUGCCAUUGAUACUGAAGAACUUGAGUACAGACGAGGUAGGCGGAAUUGACGGUGUAGCGGUGAAAUGCUUAGAUAUCGUCAAGAACACCGAUAGCGAAGGCAGCUUACUAGGCUGUAACUGACGCUGAGGCACGAAAAGUGUGGGGAUCAAACAGG